AUUAAAGCCAAUGGGACCCCAUUGAUCCCAAUAUGAUCCUAUUAAAGCCAAUGGGACCCCAUUGAUCCCAAUGUGAUCCUAUUAAAGCCAAUGGGACCCCAUUGACCCCAGUAGCCCCCGAUUGACCCCAUUGCCCCUAUUGACCAGAUGCCAUAAUUGGACCAUUGCCCCCAUUGAAUCCCCAUUGCCCCCAUUGCCCCCAUUGCCCCUAGUUGGACCCCAUAGCCCCUAUUGCCCCCAUCGCUGCCACCCGAUGCCCCCGUAUAUGACCCCAUUGACCCCAGUUAACCCCAUUGCCCCACUUGACCCCCAGUUGCCCCUAUUGACCCAUUAACCCCAAUUGCCCAUUGCCCCUAUUGACCCCACUGCCCCCAGUGCGCCGCGCGAAGCGCCCGUGCCCCCAUUGACCCAUUGCCCCCACUGCUUCCAUUGACCCAUGCCCCAUUGACCCCAUUGACCCUAUUGACCCUAUACGCCCAUUGCCCCCAUUCGACCCCACUGCCCCCAUUGACCCCAUUGCCCCUAUUGACCCCAGUUGCCCCAUGCCCCUAUUGACGCCCGAUUGACCCAUUAGCCCCUUAUUAACCCCAAUAGCCCCGUUGGACCCAUUGCCCCCAUAUGUCCCCCAUUGCGCCCCAUUGACCCCCAGCUGACCCAUUUGCCCGCCAUUGCAACCAUAGCCCCCAUAUGCCCUAUUGACCCCAUUGCCCCCAUUUGCCCCCAUUGCCCCCAGGUGACGCCAUUGCCCCCCAUUGCCCCGAUUGCCCCAUUGCGCUAUUGACCCAUGACCCCAAUUGCCCCCGACUGACCCCAUAGCCGCCCAUUUGCUCCCCAUUGCCCCAUUGACGCCAUAGCCCCAUUGGACCCCAUUGGCCCCAUUGCCCCCAUUUGCCCCCAUUAGACCCCAUAGGCCCCCAUUGACCCAUUUCCCCCUAUGCCCCUAUUGACCAUUGCCCUUAUUGACACCAAUUGACCCCAUACCCCAUUGACCCCAUGACCCUAUUGACCCCAUUGAACCCCACUGACCCCAUUGCCCCCAUUGACCAGCCACUGGCCCAUUGCCCCCAUGAUCCCCACAUUGCCCCCAUUGACCCCAUAGCCCCCCAUUGACCCCAUUGACCCCAUUGACCCCAUUGACCCCAUUGCCCCCAUAGCCCCCAUUGACCCCAUUUACCCCACUGACCUUUUGGGGUCCGAUCCCUGGGCACAGUGCCAGCUCCUCCCGUGGGGCAGCAGCCACCGCAGCCAGCGACUGUGGGGCAGAUACACAUAGAGACCCAUAGAGACCCAUAGAGACCCACAGAAACCCCAUAGAGACCCACAGAGACCCAUAG
rnacentral:lncRNA from 1 species